GACGGUGUGGCGCAAUGGCAGCGUACUUGGCUUCGAUGCCAAUGAAGUUCCACCAAGUGGUUGCAGGUUCGAGUCCUGUCACCGUCG